CCUACGGGAGGCAGCAGUCGAGAAUCAUUCACAAUGGGGGAAACCCUGAUGGUGCGACGCCGCGUGGGGGAAUGAAGGUCUUCGGAUUGUAAACCCCUGUCAUGUGGGAGCAAAUUAAAAAGAUAGUACCACAAGAGGAAGAGACGGCUAACUCUGUGCCCGCAGUCGCGGUAAUACAGAGGGCUCAAGCGUUGUUCGGAUUCACUGGGCGUAUAGCGUGCGUAGGCUGUUUCGUAAGUCGUGUGUGAAAGGCGCGGGCUCAAGCCGCGGACGGCGCAGGAUACUGGGAGACUAGAGUAAUGGAGGGGGAACCGGAAUUCUCGGUGUAGCAGGGAAAUGCGUAGAUAUCGGGAGGAACACUCGUGGCGAAGGCGGGUUCCGGGACAGUAACUGACGCUGAGGCACGAAGGCGAGGGGAGCGAAAGGGAUUAGAUACCCGUGUAGUC
rnacentral:rRNA from 1 species